GACGAACGCUGGCGGCGUGCUUAACACAUGCAAGUCGAACGGAAAGGCCCUGCUUUUGUGGGGUGCUCGAGUGGCGAACGGGUGAGUAACACGUGAGUAACCUGCCCUUGACUUUGGGAUAACUUCAGGAAACUGGGGCUAAUACCGGAUAUGAGCUCCUGCUGCAUGGUGGGGGUUGGAAAGUUUCGGCGGGUGGGGAUGGACUCGCGGCUUAUCAGCUUGUUGGUGGGGUAGUGGCUUACCAAGGCUUUGACGGGUAGCCGGCCUGAGAGGGUGACCGGCCACAUUGGGACUGAGAUACGGCCCAGACUCCUACGGGAGGCAGCAGUGGGGAAUAUUGCACAAUGGGCGGAAGCCUGAUGCAGCAACGCCGCGUGCGGGAUGACGGCCUUCGGGUUGUAAACCGCUUUCGCCUGUGACGAAGCGUGAGUGACGGUAAUGGGUAAAGAAGCACCGGCUAACUACGU
rnacentral:rRNA from 1 species